UACGUAGGUGGCAAGCGUUAUCCGGAUUUAUUGGGCGUAAAGAGAGCGCAGGCGGUCUUUUAAGUCUGAUGUGAAAGCCUUCGGCUUAACCGGAGUAGUGCAUUGGAAACUGGGAGACUUGAGUGCAGAAGAGGAGAGUGGAACUCCAUGUGUAGCGGUGAAAUGCGUAGAUAUAUGGAAGAACACCAGUGGCAAAAGCGGCUCUCUGGUCUGUAACUGACGCUGAGGUUCGAAAGCGUGGGUAGCAAACAGG
rnacentral:rRNA from 1 species